UGCCGGGGAAGCGAAUGAGGCUGUAGGUGGCGCCGGCGUCGUCAGGCGUCCCGGCGGACACUCUGUGGCGGUUGUCCGACUCCCUCCGGGGGGGGAAGUACCGCUGCGGGACUGUCCCGCUGGGCCCGGCUGCAUUGAUGCCGGAGCUGGGCCAGCACCGGUUUCUAGCCGCGGGAGAAGUGUUUGGCUGGGUAGCUUGUCGAGGUGGUUCCCGCCUUGGCGAUGGCCUGCCGAAACUGUUGCCUGCCUGGAACCGAGGCGAGUCGGCAUCCCUUGCCCUUGCGGUGCAUGCCUGAAGGCUGGACGGCGUUGUUGCACUGCCGGGCCUCUCCUGGACUGCUUGCAGUGCCGGGGAUGUGCUUUGCCGGCGGUGCCUGAACGUGCGGUCACAAU
rnacentral:rRNA from 1 species